rnacentral:rRNA from 1 species
GCUGUUUACAUGCCUAAAAAGCAUGUAGAGUAAGAGCUGGGUAAGACUGGUGCCAGCCGCCGCGGUAAUACCAGCAGCUCGAGUGGUGAUCGUUAUUAUUGGGCCUAAAGCGUCCGUAGCCGGUCUGGUAAACUCUUGGGUAAAUCGGGCAGCUUAACUGUCCGAAUUCCGAAGAUACUGCUGGACUUGGGGCCGANAGAGGUUAGAGGUACUCCUGGGGUAGGGGUGAAAUCCUAUAAUCCUGGGGGGACCGCCAGUGGCGAAGGCGUCUAACCAGAGCGGACCCGACGGUGAGGGACGAAAGCCAGGGGCGCGAACGGGAUUAGAUACCCCGGUAGUCCUGGCCGUAAACGCUGCAUGCUAGGUGUUGCAUGCUCUACGGGGGCAUGCAGUGCCGAAGAGAAGUUGAUAAGCGUGCCGCCUGGGAAGUAUAUCGACAAG